GGAAGUAAAAGUCGUAACAAGGUUUCCGUAGGUGAACCUGCGGAAGGAUCAUUAACGAGUUUUUGAAACGGGUUGUUGCUGGCUUCAAAACAGGAGCAAGUGCACGCCUGACUCAAUCCACUCUCAAACCCCUGUGCACUUAUUGUAGGCUUUGGUGAUUGAAGAGCUCGCAAGAGCUUGGAUAGAGCCUGGUCUAUGCUUUUACAAACGCUUCAGUUUAAGAAUGUAACUCGCGUAUAACGCAAUAAAUACAACUUUCAGCAACGGAUCUCUUGGCUCUCGCAUCGAUGAAGAACGCAGCGAAAUGCGAUAAGUAAUGUGAAUUGCAGAAUUCAGUGAAUCAUCGAAUCUUUGAACGCACCUUGCGCUCCUUGGUAUUCCGAGGAGCAUGCCUGUUUGAGUGUCAUGGUAUUCUCAACUCUCCAAAGCUUUUGCAAUGAAGAGUUGGAUUUGGAGGCUUGUGUCGGCUUGCAAAAGUUGACUCCUCUGAAAUGUAUUAGUGUGAGCCUCUACGGAUCGCCUCCAGUGUGAUAAUGUCUACGCUGUGGUGUGAAGUAUUUCUAGGGUUCAUGCUUCUAAUCGUCCCUUUGGGACAAUUACUUGACAAUCUGACCUCAAAUCAGGUAGGACUACCCGCUGAACUUAAGCAUAUCAAUAAGCGGAGGAAAG
rnacentral:rRNA from 1 species